rnacentral:rRNA from 1 species
AUGAACGCUAGCGACAGGCUUAACACAUGCAAGUUGAGGGGCAGCACAGGUAGCAAUACCGGGUGGCGACCGGCGCACGGGUGAGUAACGCGUAUGCAACUUGCCUAUCAGAGGGGGAUAACCCGGCGAAAGUCGGACUAAUACCGCAUGAAGCAGGGGCCCCGCAUGGGGAUAUUUGCUAAAGAUUCAUCGCUGAUAGAUAGGCAUGCGUUCCAUUAGGCAGUUGGCGGGGUAACGGCCCACCAAACCGACGAUGGAUAGGGGUUCUGAGAGGAAGGUCCCCCACAUUGGUACUGAGACACGGACCAAACUCCUACGGGAGGCAGCAGUGAGGAAUAUUGGUCAAUGGCCGAGAGGCUGAACCAGCCAAGUCGCGUGAGGGAUGAAGGUUCUAUGGAUCGUAAACCUCUUUUAUAAGGGAAUAAAGUGCGGGACGUGUCCCGUUUUGUAUGUACCUUAUGAAUAAGGAUCGGCUAACUCCGUGCCAGCAGCCGCGGUAAUACGGAGGAUCCGAGCGUUAUCCGGAUUUAUUGGGUUUAAAGGGUGCGUAGGCGGCCUUUUAAGUCAGCGGUGAAAGUCUGUGGCUCAACCAUAGAAUUGCCGUUGAAACUGGGGGGCUUGAGUAUGUUUGAGGCAGGCGGAAUGCGUGGUGUAGCGGUGAAAUGCAUAGAUAUCACGCAGAACCCCGAUUGCGAAGGCAGCCUGCCAAGCCAUGACUGACGCUGAUGCACGAAAGCGUGGGGAUCAAACAGGAUUAGAUACCCUGGUAGUCCACGCAGUAAACGAUGAUCACUAGCUGUUUGCGAUACACUGUAAGCGGCACAGCGAAAGCGUUAAGUGAUCCACCUGGGGAGUACGCCGGCAACGGUGAAACUCAAAGGAAUUGACGGGGGCCCGCACAAGCGGAGGAACAUGUGGUUUAAUUCGAUGAUACGCGAGGAACCUUACCCGGGUUUGAACGCAUUCGGACCGAGGUGGAAACACCUUUUCUAGCAAUAGCCGUUUGCGAGGUGCUGCAUGGUUGUCGUCAGCUCGUGCCGUGAGGUGUCGGCUUAAGUGCCAUAACGAGCGCAACCCUUGCCACUAGUUACUAACAGGUGAUGCUGAGGACUCUGGUGGGACUGCCAGCGUAAGCUGCGAGGAAGGCGGGGAUGACGUCAAAUCAGCACGGCCCUUACAUCCGGGGCGACACACGUGUUACAAUGGCGUGGACAAAGGGAGGCCACCUGGCGACAGGGAGCGAAUCCCCAAACCACGUCUCAGUUCGGAUCGGAGUCUGCAACCCGACUCCGUGAAGCUGGAUUCGCUAGUAAUCGCGCAUCAACCAUGGCGCGGUGAAUACGUUCCCGGGCCUUGUACACACCGCCCGUCAAGCCAUGGGAGCCGGGGGUACCUGAAGUCCGUAACCGCGAGGAUCGGCCUAGGGUAAAACUGGUGACUGGGGCU